GUGGGGAAUCUUGCGCAAUGGGCGAAAGCCUGACGCAGCCAUGCCGCGUGAAUGAUGAAGGUCUUAGGAUUGUAAAAUUCUUUCACCGGGGACGAUAAUGACGGUACCCGGAGAAGAAGCUCCGGCUAACUUCGUGCCAGCAGCCGCGGUAAUACGAAGGGGGCUAGCGUUGCUCGGAAUUACUGGGCGUAAAGGGCGCGUAGGCGGACAGCUUAGUCAGAGGUGAAAGCCCAGGGCUCAACCUUGGAAUUGCCUUUGAUACUGGCUGUCUUGAGUUUGGGAGAGGUGAGUGGAACUCCGAGUGUAGAGGUGAAAUUCGUAGAUAUUCGGAAGAACACCAGUGGCGAAGGCGACUCACUGGCCAAAUACUGACGCUGAGGCGCGAAAGCGUGGGGAGCAAACAGGAUUAGAAACCCCGGUAGUCC
rnacentral:rRNA from 1 species